rnacentral:rRNA from 1 species
GAAAGUAAAUAAGGGCGUAUGGGGAAUGCCUAGGCUCUUGGAGGCGAAGAAAGACGUGGUAAGCUGCGAAAAGCUCCGGGGAUUUGCAAACAAGAUUUGAUCCGGAGAUUUCUGAAUGGGACAACCCGUCAGGUAGAAGACCUGACACAUCGCAAGAUGGGCCAACCCUCUGAACUGAAACAUCUUAGUAGGAGGAGGAAAAGAAAGAAACAUCGAUUUCCUGAGUAGCGGCGAGCGAAAGGGAAAAAGCCUAAACCGGUAUUGUUACGGCAAUGCCGGGGUUGUAGGACUGCAACAUUCAAGUAACAAUGAACUGGAACGAUCUGGAAAGUUCGUCCAUAGAGGGUGAAAGGCCCGUACAGGUAAGUUCGUUAUGCGAUAGCAGUAUCCUGAGUAGGGCGGGACACGAGGAAUCCUGUCUGAAUCUGCCGGGACCACCCGGUAAGGCUAAAUACUCCCAAGAGACCGAUAGUGAACCAGUACCGUGAGGGAAAGGUGAAAAGAACCCCGAACAGGGGAGUGAAAUAGAACCUGAAACCAUACGCUUACAACCGGUCGGAGCAGCUUCGUGCUGUGACGGCGUGCCUAUUGAAUAAUGAGCCUACGAGUUACUAAUCACUAGCGAGGUUAAGUGCAAGGAUGCACGGAGCCGAAGCGAAAGCGAGUCUGAACAGGGCGUUUAGUUAGUGGUUGUAGACGCGAAACCUUGCGAUCUACCCUUGAGCAGGUUGAAGGUUGGGUAAAACCAACUGGAGGACCGAACGAAUAAGCGUUGAAAAGCUUCUCGAUGACUUGAGGGUAGGGGUGAAAGGCUAAUCAAGCUGGGAAAUAGCUCGUACUCCCCGAAAUGCCUUUUGGGGCAGCGUUGUAAUAAAGAGUCUACUGGAGGUAGAGCUACUGAUUGGAUGCGGGGGCUUCACCGCCUACCAAAUCCUGACAAACUCCGAAUGCCAGUAGUAUGAUUUACAGCAGUGAGUGACUGGGUGCUAAUGUCCAGUCGCAAAAGAGGAACAACUCAGACCAGCAACUAAGGUCCCGAAGAAUAUGCUAAGUUGAUCUAACGAUGUUUUGUUGCAGAGACAGCUAGGAUGUUAGCUUGGAAGCAGCUAUUCAUUCAAAGAGUGCGUAACAGCUCACUAGUCGAGCGACAGAGCGUGGAUAAUAAACGGGCAUCAAGCAUAUCACCGAAGUUCUGGGCGCGAGAGCGCGGUAGGGGAGCAUUCCAUUCAGCGUCGAAGCAGUUUCGUGAGGAAUUGUGGAGCGUAUGGAAAAGCAAAUGUAGGCAUGAGUAACGAUAAUGCGGGAGAGUAACCCGCACACCGCAAGACCAAGGUUUCCUGAUCAACGCUAAUCGGAUCAGGGUUAGUCGGGUCCUAAGGGUAAGCCGAACGGCGAUCUCGAUGGAUAAUCGGUUAAUAUUCCGAUACUGACAUAUACCUCGAUGGAGAGACGAAGGAACGUAAGUGCCGCCGCCUGACGGAAUAGGUGGUUAAAGGGCGUAGGUAUAGGGACAGAUUAAGAGUUAGUCCUUGCUGAACCCCGACAGUACAGAGAGCCUACGGGCAAUUUGAUAGUGCACCCAAGUCGACUUCCGAGAAAAUCUUCUAAGUUAUAGUAUAUGUCACCCGUACCGUAAACCGACACAGGUGGUCGAGGAGAGUAUCCUAAGGUGCUCGAGUGAAUCACGGUUAAGGAACUAGGCAAAUUAACCCCGUAACUUCGGGAAAAGGGGUCCCUAUGAAAGUAGGGCGCAGCGAAGAGGUCCAGGCGACUGUUUAUCAAAAACACAGGGCUCUGCAAAUUCGAAAGAAGACGUAUAGGGCCUGACACCUGCCCGGUGCUGGAAGGUUAAGAGGGGAUGUCAUCGCAAGAGAAGCAUUGAAUCGAAGCCCCAGUAAACGGCGGCCGUAACUAUAACGGUCCUAAGGUAGCGAAAUUCCUUGUCGGGU